GAUGAACGCUGGCGGCGUGCCUAAUACAUGCAAGUCGAGCGAACGGACGAGAAGCUUGCUUCUCUGAUGUUAGCGGCGGACGGAUGAGUAACACGUGGAUAACCUACCUAUAAGACUGGGAUAACUUCGGGAAACCGGAGCUAAUACCGGAUAAUAUUUAGAACCGCAUGGUUCAAAAGUGAAAGACGGUCUUGCUGUCACUUAUAGAUGGAUCCGCGCUGCAUUAGCUAGUUGGUAAGGUAACGGCUUACCAAGGCAACGAUGCAUAGCCGACCUGAGAGGGUGAUCGGCCACACUGGAACUGAGACACGGUCCAGACUCCUACGGGAGGCAGCAGUAGGGAAUCUUCCGCAAUGGGCGAAAGCCUGACGGAGCAACGCCGCGUGAGUGAUGAAGGUCUUCGGAUCGUAAAACUCUGUUAUUAGGGAAGAACAUAUGUGUAAGUAACUGUGCACAUCUUGACGGUACCUAAUCAGAAAGCCACGGCUAACUACGUG
rnacentral:rRNA from 1 species